UACGUAGGGUGCAAGCGUUGUCCGGAAUUAUUGGGCGUAAAGAGCUCGUAGGCGGUUUGUCGCGUCUGCUGUGAAAACCCGAGGCUCAACCUCGGGCCUGCAGUGGGUACGGGCAGACUAGAGUGCGGUAGGGGAGAUUGGAAUUCCUGGUGUAGCGGUGGAAUGCGCAGAUAUCAGGAGGAACACCAAUGGCGAAGGCAGUCCGCUGGGCCGUUGCUGACGCUGAGGCGCGACAGCGUGGGGAGCAAACAGG
rnacentral:rRNA from 1 species